UAACGUUCGGGCAGGAUUUCAAGCGGCGAGUGAAGUGGUUCUUUCGUAGGUCGCCCAUCAACGGUACUCCGGUUGGUCCCAUUACCCCUUCCUUGAUUUUCAUGCACCCCCGGGCUUCGGCCUUAUUCACCAUUUUUAGGAAAAAGUAAUAUGGAAACCGGUACCGUCAAGUGGUUCAAUGACGCAAAGGGCUUUGGCUUCAUCACUCCGGACGGCGGCGGCGAAGACCUGUUCGCGCAUUUCUCGGAAAUUCGCGUUGACGGCUUCAAGACGCUGCAAGAAAACCAGAAGGUCACGUUUGAAGUGAAGACGGGCCCGAAGGGCAAGCAAGCGGCUAACAUCAAGCCGGUGUAAGCCCCCAGCCUCCUUCGGGAAGCUAGAAAAAACCCCGCCUCGGCGGGGUUUUUUUA
rnacentral:sRNA from 1 species